CUUCACCGAGCCGAGCAGCAGCGGCUGCUCCGGGGCCCGGUCGCGGCCGUAGGUGGCGAGCACGGCCUGGGCCUC
rnacentral:antisense_RNA from 1 species